UGUGCAGAUGAUGAUUAAGAUUGGAGAAGGAUUAUUUCAUUUGUUUGAGGUUGGCACAACAAAUAGCUAGAUCUGCAACGCUCUCUAUAAACAAGGCCCAUCUUAGUAAAACUUAACUUUGGCCCUAUUGAGUAGGUGGAAAAUAUGGAUAGGGCAGAUUAUCACUGUCAGCAGAAGCGCUGAGCCGGUAGAUUUUGACUCUCGUAUAUUCAUCUGUGUUAUAUGCUAUUUGAUCGAUAAACAAAAUUGAGCAGAAUCAACAUUCACCAGCAUUACAGAAAGCUUUUUUUUUUUUUUUUCAAUACGAAAAAGAAGCUGAGUUGGAUGCAAAGCAAAUUGGAGCAUGU
rnacentral:lncRNA from 1 species